UACACGUUUUUAAACAUCCUUUUGUGUGUAAGUGUGCAUAAGUACAUGCUAACGAUAUUCAAGAAGUACAUACCUCAAAGAAAACGAUGACACGAGUUAUCGUCUCUAACGUUCGAGGACUACAAAAAACACUCGGAUUGUAGGCAACAGUUUACUUCCUGGGAUUGGUGACGUAGAUAAGACCAACAUUAUCAUAGUUCAGCCCUCUCUGCUUUGCUUGGGUACGCCCUCAAAGACGAGGGUGGGGAGCGCCGAGUCAGAAGACAGCUAAAAUGGCGGAGGUUGUGAGUUCCUGCUUUGACCCUGUUUGCAAGCUCUUGUUUCAUUGUUUAAGCGAUUAAAUCUCUCGAGUAGACGCUGUCUCUUUAGAUGCGAGGGCAAAAUAGCACUUUAUGGACUUCCACAGAGGACAUCAUGUUUAAUACGGUUCCGGAAAAAUCCAGUCAGAAGUUGUUCACGGAGUUUUCACAAUAACUGCUUCUCAUGAACCGAAGCUGGAUUUGCGCGAAGUCUCCUCUUGAAAGUUGGAUUACUGCACUUCUGGAUCACAGGCUAUUCGCAGCUGGACACAUCCUUCUACACUGUAUGCAAACAUGCAACAUCAUUACACACAGUACAAGGAGUCAGACUGGCAUAUGAGGAGCAAAGGAACCCAGGCAGUAGCAUCGUUUCACAAUGUUUCCAUCACCAUCAUCAGUGGAUGCCUUUGCUGUCCGUAGCCUGAGAUUUCAGAUUUGCAGCAAAAAAAAAUUUAUUUUCUCAUUUAUUGGAAUGCUGUGCAGGUAUUUGUACCUUGCAGCCAUCCAUUACAAUGUCACCAAGCCGUAACAAAAGCAGGAGAGGGAAAGUACAAGGCUAUGUUCCCAAAACACACAAGUGACAUACCUUAUGUGGAUGAUGUGAUCAGGCUUGUGUUUGAUGAGGUAUUUGAAGAUAAGCUGAAGGAAGCCCUGAUUCCAAUGGACCUGGCAUCACAGUUUGAGAGACCUUCAAAGGAGGACGUGAUUGCAUGCCAUCUUCAGUGCAG